CAAUGGGUAGUUUAAUAAAAAAUAUAAUGUUUGGGUCAUUAAGAAAGUUUCAUUGA
rnacentral:tRNA from 1 species